rnacentral:lncRNA from 1 species
UGGAGAUGUUGAUCUGGAGGCUUUUGGGGUUGUGCUCGAUUUCCCGUCAGCAGAGAGAUAGCGGGGAUGGGAGGCAUGUAAGCUUUGCUGUUGCUCCCAGGGCUUUUGCUGGUGCUCCCAGGGCAGGGAAGGAGAGUCUCUGCAGGUCCCUAAAGUAGAAAUGGAUCCCAACGUGCAAUGGAAACCUUUCUCAUCUCUGCUUGCUUCUAGAUGAAAGUGGUGGCAAUGGUCAUCCUGCUUAUCCACUGGAUCUUGGCAUGCAUCCCUUAGGGCUUCCUGCAGGUCUUCCAAGGGAGAAGAACGCAAUUGAAGAAGAGAAAAUGACCCUGGAGCCACCUGAAGUCCUCAUGGACAUUCUCAAAAAGAUGCAUGCACUACACGGUGGGUGUAUUUCACUCUGCGGUAGCCGUGGGACUUGCUCCACACCUGGACGGGCUGUAGCCUGCAGAGCAGGAAGGGAUCCAUCAGAGCCUCGCCGCAGCCACGCUGGGUUUCAGCCCUUGCGGGCGCUUCCGAGCCCCAGGGAUGGUCCAGGGCCUCUGCGGCCAGUGGUGGCCACAGCCGGGUGCCAGGGGCAGCCGCUGCCCCACUGGGACCAUGAGGACUCAGAGCUGUUUGCGCAGAGGUCGGGGACAGAUUUGGGGUCCUGGCACGUGCUGCACUUGUGUCCAGCUGCCCCACAGCUCUGCUGGCGCAAUGGGCCAGGGCCAGGGGGGAGAGCGGGGUCCCAAGCAAGGCUUGCUGCCCUAUCCUAGUCCUGCAAGUCAGCUGGAGAUGCUGAUUUGGAAGCUUUUGGGGCUCUGCUCGAUUUCCUGUCUGCAGAGCGACAGCUGGGAUGGGAGGAAUAUAGGCUUUGCUGGUGCUCCCAGGGCAGGGCAGGAAGUUCUGGUGGAAGAGCCCUUCCCCCGGCUGGCCUGGCUGCUGCAGCUUCUUCCCCUCGUCUUGGAAGGCUGCCGUUUAGCAUCAUCUUGCAGUUGGCCAAAAACGCAGUAGAUGUAAAUCAGUGUUGGAGCAGUGACUGGGCACAAGCCCAGAAGCCCAGGCCUUCCAUCUCACUUUCUUGGGUGUCUUGGAGAAGUACCGACUCAUCAAGCUCUCAAUAAUUCACCCUUAUGUGUCCAGUCCAGAUCCACCUGACCCCCUGAAAGAUGGACCCAACGCCAGCAGCCGUUGCUUCCACCUGCAUCACCGGCACCACGACCGGCCUCCCGGGAGCCCCUGCGCCCCACAGGCCUCUCCCCGGCCAGCCUGGACCAACAGCAGAAGCUGUCCAGCCCCGGCCAGCUCCCGACCCCACCAAAAGAGCCCCCGUGCCACACCACCCCACAAUGUCAAGAAGCCUUGAUGGAGGCUCAAUCCCCACUCGGCGCUGGGGCUGCUCCUCAAAUGCACCCAGUGGGACAGUUUCACUGAAUUUCACUGAAUUUCACUGAAUUUUUGGAGUUGGAAGGGUCCGUAGAGAUCAUCUAAUCCAACUCCCUUGCUGAAGCAGGAUUGCCUAGAGCUAGAGCAUGUUACUCAGGACCACAUCCAGGCGGGUCUUGGAAAUCUCCAAAGAAGGGGACUCCACGACCUCCCUGGGCAGCCUCUUCCAGGGCUCUGUCACCCUCACUGUGAAGAAGCUUUUUCUCAUAUUUGAGUGGAAGCUCCUAUGUUCCAACUUGUGCCCGUUACUCCUCGUCCUCUCACUGGCAACUGCUGAAAAGAGUCUGGCUCCCUCCUCCUUCAAACCACCCUUUAGGUACUUAUAGGCAU